CUGAUGCAGCACGCCGCGUGAGGGACGAAGGCCUUCGGGUUGUAAACCUCUUUUAGCAGGGAAGAAGCGAAAGUGACGGUACCUGCAGAAAAAGCACCGGCUAACUACGUGCCAGCAGCCGCGGUAAUACGUAGGGUGCAAGCGUUGUCCGGAAUUAUUGGGCGUAAAGAGCUCGUAGGCGGUUUGUCGCGUCUGCUGUGAAAACUGGAAGCUCAACUUCCAGCCUGCAGUGGGUACGGGCAGACUAGAGUGCGGUAGGGGAGAACGGAAUUCCUGGUGUAGCGGUGGAAUGCGCAGAUAUCAGGAGGAACACCGAUGGCGAAGGCAGUUCUCUGGGCCGUUACUGACGCUGAGGAGCGAAAGCGUGGGGAGCGAACAGGAUUAGAUACCCUGGUAGUCCACGCCGUAAACGGUGGGUGCUAGCUGUGGGCCACAUUCCACGUGGUCCGUGACGAAGUUAACACAUUAAGCACCCCGCCUGGGGAGUACGGCCGCAAGGCUAAAACUCAAA
rnacentral:rRNA from 1 species